rnacentral:rRNA from 1 species
UAUGCCUACGGGGGGCAGCAGUGAGGAAUAUUGGUCAAUGGGCGAGAGCCUGAACCAGCCAAGUCGCGUGAAGGAUGACGGCCCUACGGGUUGUAAACUUCUUUUGUCAGGGAGCAAUUGAGUCCACGUGUGGUCUCAGCGAGAGUACCUGGAGAAAAAGCAUCGGCUAACUCCGUGCCAGCAGCCGCGGUAAUACGGAGGAUGCGAGCGUUAUCCGGAUUUAUUGGGUUUAAAGGGUGCGCAGGCGGAAUGUCAAGUCAGCGGUAAAAUUUCGGGGCUCAACCCCGUCGUGCCGUUGAAACUGG